UACACGCAUGACUGAGUCGCUUUGGAUAAAAGCAUCUUCUAAAUGACAUAUA
rfam:Salmo salar isolate Sally breed double haploid chromosome ssa01, whole genome shotgun sequence.